rnacentral:lncRNA from 1 species
CAGCUUCACGCUCCGUCAGUGGUCUCACCAUAGACCUUCUAAUCUUGAUUGUGUUGGCUGGUGUCUAUUUUCUAAUGGUGUUUGGUUUUGGAACCUGCAUUUCUUUGAAAAACAGCAUGUGCAUUUUCCCAGAUGCCUGGUAUCCAACUGCACUUCUCCAUGUGUGCAUUGUUCCCUGAGCUGGCAAGAAGAUCCUACUAGUUGGUCUGCAUGCCAUGCCAGCUCGGCCUUGCACCCUGGGGGCCCAGGUAACUAGCUCUCACCAACAGAAAGAGAUGUGAUGGACAUCACCUGAGGCCAGACCCUAAGACCUCUGUGUGCCCCCUCCGUGUCUCCUGUCUGCAGCUGUUGUCCACACCAAGGGUGGCCUACAGAGGGAAGUGAGGACCUUGGGACUUCCUCCAAGACAGCCCUCGCUGUCCAAAUCUCCACCUGCUGCAGAGCUGCCUCCAGUCAAGCCCUUGUUUCCGGCUUUCUGUGCCCUAAAUAAACUUCCGCUAGGAUUGAGCCGUCAGCAUUCUGUGGUGGGCGUCGCUGCUGCAGGGUUGCCCUCGUGCACACAAGCUCCUCACAGGACUUCCAGGAUGAUAUGGAAGAGUAACUGAGAGCAGCCGCCCGGUGCUUCCCAACCUUAGAGGGAGGUCACGGGCAGUCUCCCUGCGAUGCCGGCCACAGGGUCUCACUGUGUCGCCCAGGCUGGAAGGCAGUGGUGUGAUCUGGACUCACUGCAGCCUCGACCUGUUGGGCUCAAGUGAUCCUCCCACAUCAGCCUCCAAGUAGCCAAGACCACAGGCAGGCGUCACCAUGCCCAGCCCCCAUGACUUUACUUUUCUUCUUGAACCUGGUGAAUUUCUGUGUUAACAUUUCUGAUUUGAACCCUUCUGAUAUUCCUGAGAUAAACUUUAUGUGACCUUGGUAUUCUGUUGGAUUUUGGUUAGCUGAUACUUCAAGAUUUUUA